rnacentral:rRNA from 1 species
AUGGAUCUCAGGGCCGCAAAAUUUGCUAGCAAGGUUUUUAGCAUUCAGCAGAAUGCGUUUAUUAAGGGGCGACAUAUAGUGGAUGGUAUCUCAUCCUUACAUGAGGUGUUGCACUAUACUCAUAUCAAAAAGGAGGUGGGUGUGAUCUUUAAGAUCGACUUUGAGAAAGCCUACGACAAAGUGAAUUGGGACUUCUUACUAGACUGUCAUGCUAAACGUGGGUUCAAUUCAAAAUGGUGUGGGUGGGUGUCGCAAAUCCUUAGGAAUGGCACGGUGAGUGUUAAAAUCAAUGAUGAGACUGGUCCAUGCCUCAUGGAGUGCUAA